rnacentral:tRNA from 1 species
AUCUUUGUAGUAUAGUAAUUACCUUGGUCUUGUAAGCCAAAAACGGAGAAUACCUACCCUCCCCGGGACC